rnacentral:rRNA from 1 species
ACGAACGCUGGCGGCGUGCUUAACACAUGCAAGUCGAACGGAAAGGCCCUGCUUGCAGGGUACUCGAGUGGCGAACGGGUGAGUAACACGUGGGUGAUCUGCCCUGCACUUCGGGAUAAGCCUGGGAAACUGGGUCUAAUACCGGAUAGGAGCCAUUUUUAGUGUGAUGGUUGGAAAGAUUUUUCGGUGUAGGAUGAGCUCGCGGCCUAUCAGCUUGUUGGUGGGGUAAUGGCCUACCAAGGCGGCGACGGGUAGCCGGCCUGAGAGGGUGGACGGCCACAUUGGGACUGAGAUACGGCCCAGACUCCUACGGGAGGCAGCAGUGGGGAAUAUUGCACAAUGGGCGCAAGCCUGAUGCAGCGACGCCGCGUGGGGGAUGACGGCCUUCGGGUUGUAAACUCCUUUCGCUAGGGACGAAGCUUUUUGUGACGGUACCUAGAUAAGAAGCACCGGCUAACUACGUG